AACGAACGCUGGCGGCAGGCCUAACACAUGCAAGUCGAGCGGACCCUUCGGGGUUAGCGGCGGACGGGUGAGUAACGCGUGGGAAUAUGCCCUUCUCUACGGAAUAGUCCUGGGAAACUGGGGGUAAUACCGUAUACGGCCUUUGGGGGAAAGAUUUAUCGGGGAAGGAUUAGCCCGCGUUGGAUUAGGUAGUUGGUGGGGUAAUGGCCUACCAAGGCGACGAUCCAUAGCUGGUUUGAGAGGAUGAUCAGCCACACUGGGACUGAGACACGGCCCAGACUCCUACGGGAAGCAGCAGUGGGGAAUCUUAGACAAUGGGGGCAACCCUGAUCUAGCCAUGCCGCGUGAGUGAUGAAGGCCUUAGGGUUGUAAAGCUCUUUCAGCUGGGAAGAUAAUGACGGUACCAGCAGAAGAAGCCCCGGCUAACUCCGUG
rnacentral:rRNA from 1 species